rnacentral:rRNA from 1 species
AUUGAACGCUGGCGGCAGGCCUAACACAUGCAAGUCGAGCGAGCGGCGGACGGGGGAGUAAUGUAUGGGGACUGCCCGAUAGAGGGGGGGAACUACUGGAGACGGUGGCUAAUACCGCAUACGGUCUGGGAACCCAUAUGGGAUUAUCUAGUAGGUGAGGUAAUGGCUUACCUAGGCGACGAUCCCUAGCUGGUCUGAGAGGAUGAGCAGCCACACUGGGACUGAGACACGGCCCAGACUCCUACGGAGGCAGCAGUGGGGAAUAUUGCACAAUGGGCGCAAGCCUGAUGCAGCCAUGCCGCGUGUAUGAAGAAGGCCCUAGGGUUGUAAAGUACUUUCAGCCGGGAGGCGUUACCGACAGAAGAAGCACCGGCUAACUCCGUGCCAGCAGCCGCGGUAAUUC